GAUUAAGUGUCGUAAGGGCAUUUGGUGGAUGCCUUGGCAUGCACAGGCGAUGAAGGACGUGAUACGCUGCGAAAAGCCGUGGGGAGCUGCGAAUGAGCUUUGAUCCAUGGAUCUCCGAAUGGGGCAACCCACCUUAAAUGCUUGGAAAAUCAUUCUGGUUGUUUGGCCUCUGGCCGGGCAACCCGAGUGGUUUCCAAGCAUUGUGAUAAGGUAUCUACACCUGAAUACAUAGGGUGUAAGAAGCGAACGCAGGGAACUGAAACAUCUAAGUACCUGCAGGAAAGGACAUCAACCGAGACUCCGCAAGUAGUGGCGAGCGAACGCGGACCAGGCCAGUGGCAAUUGUGAUUAAAGUGGAACGCUCUGGAAAGUGCGGCCGUAGUGGGUGACAGCCCCGUACGCGUAGAUAUCACGAUUGUCCUAGAGUAGGGCGGGACACGAGAAAUCCUGUCUGAACAUGGGGAGACCACUCUCCAAGCCUAAGUACUCGUGCAUGACCGAUAGCGAACAAGUACCGUGAGGGAAAGGUGAAAAGCACCCCGACAAGGGGAGUGAAAUAGAACCUGAAACCGGAUGCCUACAAACAGUCGGAGCCCGCAAGGGUGACGGCGUACCUUUUGUAUAAUGGGUCAACGACUUAGUGUAACAAGCAAGCUUAAGCCGGUAGGUGUAGGCGAAGCGAAAGCGAGUCUGAAUAGGGCGAUUUAGUUUGUUGCAUUAGACCCGAAACCGAGUGAUCUAGCCAUGAGCAGGUUGAAGGUUGGGUAACACCAACUGGAGGACCGAACCCGCAUCUGUUGCAAUAGAUUGGGAUGACUUGUGGCUAGGGGUGAAAGGCCAAUCAAACUCGGAAAUAGCUGGUUCUCCGCGAAAUCUAUUUAGGUAGAGCGUCGAGCGAAUACCCCCGGGGGUAGAGCACUGGAUGGGCUAUGGGGACUCACCGUCUUACUGAUCCUAACCAAACUCCGAAUACCGGGGAGUACUACUCGGCAGACACACGGCGGGUGCUAACGUCCGUCGUGAAAAGGGCAACAACCCUAACCUCCAGCUAAGGUCCCCAAGUCAUGGCUAAGUGGGAAAGGAUGUGAGGAUCCCAAAACAACCAGGAUGUUGGCUUAGAAGCAGCCAUCAUUUAAAGAAAGCGUAACAGCUCACUGGUCUAAAUAAGGGUCUUUGCGCCGAAAAUGUAACGGGGCUGAAGCCAUGCACCGAAGCUGAGGAUUUGCGAGCAAUCGCAAGUGGUAGCGGAGCGUUCCGUAAGCUGAUGAAGGGAGACCUGUGAGGGCUCCUGGAGGUAUCGGAAGUGCGAAUGUUGACAUGAGUAACGAUAAAGAGGGUGAGAGACCCUCUCGCCGAAAGACCAAGGGUUCCUGCUUAAAGUUAAUCUGAGCAGGGUUAGCCGGCCCCUAAGGCGAGGCAGAAAUGCGUAGUCGAUGGGAACCACGUUAAUAUUCGUGGGCCUGGUGGUAGUGACGGAUUGCACAAGUUGUUCUGGUUUAUUGGAUUAUCAGGGCAGCGGAGCGGUUCCAGGAAAUAGCUCCACCGUAUAGACCGUACCCGAAACCGACACAGGUGGUCAGGUAGAGUAUACCAAGGCGCUUGAGAGAACUAUGUUGAAGGAACUCGGCAAAUUGCACGCGUAACUUCGGAAGAAGCGUGACCCCAUUUUACGCAAGUAUGAUGGGGUGGCACAGACCAGGGGGUAGCGACUGUUUAUCAAAAACACAGGGCUCUGCGAAGUCGCAAGACGACGUAUAGGGUCUGACGCCUGCCCGGUGCUGGAAGGUUAAGAGGAGAGGUGCAAGCUUUGAAUCGAAGCCCCAGUAAACGGCGGCCGUAACUAUAACGGUCCUAAGGUAGCGAAAUUCCUUGUCGGGUAAGUUCCGACCUGCACGAAUGGCGUAACGACUUCCCCGCUGUCUCCAACAUAGACUCAGUGAAAUUGAAUUCCCCGUGAAGAUGCGGGGUUCCUGCGGUCAGACGGAAAGACCCCGUGCACCUUUACUAUAGCUUUACACUGGCAUUCGUGUCGGCAUGUGUAGGAUAGGUGGUAGGCUUUGAAGCGGGGACGCCAGUUUCCGUGGAGCCAUCCUUGAAAUACCACCCUUAUCGUCAUGGAUGUCUAACCGCGGCCCGUCAUCCGGGUCCGGGACAGUGUAUGGUGGGUAGUUUGACUGGGGCGGUCGCCUCCGAAAGAGUAACGGAGGCGCGCGAUGGUGGGC
rnacentral:rRNA from 1 species